CGGGGCUUAAAGUCUUGUAAUUGGAAUGAUGGGAAUUUAAACCUCUUCCAGAGUAUCAAUUGGAGGGCAAGUCUGGUGCCAGCAGCCGCGGUAAUUCCAGCUCCAAUAGCGUAUAUUAAAAUUGUUGCAGUUAAAAAGCUCGUAGUUGAAUUUCUGCUGCAUCGCUGCGUCCCCUCGGGGUCUCUGCAUGUGGCUUAUUUCAGACGAAGUUUCUUUGUCUGGAUGUUUACUUUGAGAAAAUUAGAGUGAUCAAAGCAGGCCUUUGCCUUGAAUAGUUUAGCAUGGAAUAAUAAAGUAGGACUUUGGUUCUAUUUUGUUGGUUUUAGGUACCAAAGUAAUGGUUAAUAGGAACAGUUGGGGGCAUUCGUAUUUAACUGUCAGAGGUGAAAUUCUUAGAUUUGUUAAAGACGAACUACUGCGAAAGCAUUUGCCAAGGAUGUUUUCAUUAAUCAAGAAC
rnacentral:rRNA from 1 species